ACAUAGAGGCAAAGAUAUUUACCAUAGCAGCUAUGGUUGACUAUUAUUGUAGAACCGGGAUCUAUAUCUGAUGAUCUUUGAUGUCAAAGAGGUUACAUCAAGGAGGGCAUAUCUGAUGAUCUCAGUGAACAAGGAGGGUAUAUCUGAUGAUCUCAGUGAUCAAGGAGGGUAUAUCUGAUGAUCUCAGUGAUCAAGGAGGGCAUAUCUGAUGAUCUCAGUGAUCAAGGAGGGUAUAUCUGAUGAUCUCUGUGAUCAAGGAGGUUAUAUUUGAUGAUCUCAGUGAUCAAGGAGGGCAUAUCUGAUGAUCUCAGUGAUCAAGGAGGGUAUAUCUGAUGAUCUCAGUGAUCAAGGAGGGUAUAUCUGAUGAUCUCAGUGAUCAAGGAGGGUAUAUCUGAUGAUCUCUGUGAU